UACGUAGGGUGCAAGCGUUGUCCGGAAUUAUUGGGCGUAAAGAGCUCGUAGGUGGUCUGUUGCGUCGGCUGUGAAAACCCGAGGCUCAACCUCGGGCCUGCAGCCGAUACGGGCAGACUAGAGUUCGGCAGGGGAGACUGGAAUUCCUGGUGUAGCGGUGAAAUGCGCAGAUAUCAGGAGGAACACCGGUGGCGAAGGCGGGUCUCUGGGCCGAUACUGACACUGAGGAGCGAAAGCGUGGGGAGCGAACAGG
rnacentral:rRNA from 1 species